AGCGCACGUAGGCGGGUUGGGAGGUAGUUGGCCAAGUUGAAUACGAUGAAUUAUUUACCGUGUUUGAACACGGUGAAUCAUUCACCGUGUUUCAUAUUUAUAUUCCUUUUCUUCUCUUUUAGGGAUGUACGGGUCGGGUUCGGGUUCGGGUUUCGGGUUUUUAGUCGGGUAUGGAUAUGGGUAUGAAUUUUUAAAACCCACCGGGUUUGGAUUCGGGUUCGAGUUUUAAUUUGAUUUUCGGAUUCGGGUUCGGAUUUUAGGGAUGUCAAAGAGUCGGGUCAGGGUUCGGGUUUCAAGUUUUUGGUCGGGUAUGGAUAUGGGUAUGGAUUUUUAAAAUUCGCCGGGUUCGGAUUUGGGUUCGAGUUCGAGUUUUAAUUUUAUUUUCGGAUUCGGGUUCGGAUUUUUGAAAACUCAAUCCAAAUCCGACCCGUUGUUAUCCCUAAAAGAGAAAAAAAAUGAAUAUAAAUAUGAAACAUGGUGAAUAAUUCACUGUGUUUUAAUACGGUGAAUGAUUCACCGUGUUCAACUUGGCAAGCGACCUCCCAGCCUGCCCACGUGGCUCUUGUGUGGUAGGAAUUGGGCCAUUUUUACAAUUAUAAAUUUAUUGGGACUAGUUUUAAAAUAAAAUUUUUUCAGGGAGUCAUUUGCAUAAAAAAGGCCCAAAAAAAAACUAAAGGUCAAAAACUAAAGAAUAAUAAAAAAAAUAAAGAAGAAGGAAGAAAAAGAUAAAAAUUAUACUGUUAAGAUAACAUUGCACUGUUUUAAAAGAAUAUUGCACUAUUAUGGACGUAAGUUGCACUAUUUGAGAUAUAAACUGCACACUUUAAACGAAAAUUUUACUAUUUAAGAGAUAUUUAUAUAUUUUUUUUCUUAUUGCACUCUUUGAAAUGAAAACUGCGUCUUUUAAGUUCAAUCUUUUAUAUCCAUACAAAUUAAGUUCAAUCUUUUAUAUUUAUUCCUACAAAAAUUUUAACGUUUUUAAAUAUACCAUACUAUUAAGAUUCAUUAAACAAAUAUUAUUAAUCAUAGCUAAAAUACUUAACUUGAUUAGUGCAUGAGCUAAAUUGACCUUUUUACCUCUUUUAUAUUAUUUGUGAUGGUAGAAAAAAAGAAGAUGACCGUUGAAAAUUUUUGAAAGGACAAUUUGCAUAAUUUUAACCGUUGGAAUUUUUAGAGAAAUAUAUUUGUGAUGAUAAAAAUAUUAAUUUAUGUAUUUUUUAUUAAAAAAUAGUACUCCGAUGAUAAUAAAUUAGAGAAAUAAAUAUAAAUAUUACUAAAUUUUUGUGGGAAACAAAUAUUUGCUAGUCGAUAUGUUCAGGAGAACUGAAUGAAAUUAUCCAAUAAGGUAUCGUUUGGUUCGGGGAUAAGCAAAAAGUGGGUAUUCCAGGGAUAGGUAUAAUUGAGGUAUAAGCGGGGAUUAGAUCAAUUUUGCGUUUGAAUGAAAAUUGGGUUAUUCCUCGGAAUAAAAAAAAAUAACGUUUGGUUAGGUAAGAUGGAAUAAGAUUUAAAGUGGGUAGUUAUAAAUAAAAAUUAAUAAUAUUAUCACUUUUUUAUUUAUAUUAGAAUUUAAAUUUUUAUAUUUUAUAUUUAUAUUUUAAAAUUUAAAAUUUUAACUUUUAAAUUUCAAAUUUUGAAAUUUAAAUUUAAAAUUUAAAAUCUCAAAUUUUAAAUUCAAAAUUUAAAUUUUAAAUUUCUAACUUUAAAUUUAAGAUCAAAUUUAAAUUUGAAAAAAAAUAAAUUCAAAUUUAAAAUUUCAAAAAUUUAAAAUUUCAAAAUUUAAAUUUAAAAUUUAAAAUGUGGAAUUUAAAAUUAUAAACUUUAAUUUUGAGAUUACAAAUUUUAAAUUUUAAAUAUAAUUUGUUAUAAUAUUUUAAAUUUUAAAUUUAUUUAAAUUUUAAAUUUUAAUUUAUUUUAAUAUUUAAAUAUAAUUUAUUAUAAAAUUUAUUAUAAUAUUUAAAUAUAAAUAAUAUGUAUUAAUAUAGCACAAUUAAUAAUUUUAUAAUAAAAAUAAUGUAUUAUAAUAUAUAAUAUAUUAUAUUUAUAUAAUUUAGUUUUAAUUUACUUUAUAAUUUUAAUUAAGUUUGAAAUUAAGUAUGGGAAUAGCACUAUUCCACCAAAAUGGUGGAAUAGUAAAAAGCUUGCUAUUCCGGAAUAACCGGGAAUAGCAAGCUUUGACCGGAAUAAAAUAUUCCGGUAAAAAAUGAUCCCGUUUGGCGGAAUAGCGGGGAUAAUCGCCGCUUAUCCCCGUUUGGCGAAAUAGCGGGGAUAAUCCCCGCUUAUCCCCGCUUAUCCCGUUUGGCGGAAUAGCACUAUUCCACCAAAAAUUUUAACGUUUUUAAAUAUACCAUACUAUUAAGAUUCAUUAAACAAAUAUUAUUAAUCAUAGCUAAAAUACUUAACUUGAUUAGUGCAUGAGCUAAAUUGACCUUUUUACCUCUUUUAUAUUAUUUGUGAUGGUAGAAAAAAAGAAGAUGACCGUUGAAAAUUUUUGAAAGGACAAUUUGCAUAAUUUUAACCGUUGGAAUUUUUAGAGAAAUAUAUUUGUGAUGAUAAAAAUAUUAAUUUAUGUAUUUUUUAUUAAAAAAUAGUACUUCAAUGAUAAUAAAUUAGAGAAAUAAAUAUAAAUAUUACUAAAUUUUUGUGGGAAACAAA
rnacentral:lncRNA from 1 species